CUGAGGGCGCGAAGGGCGAACCUGUUCUACUGGGCAGUGGGGCGAGCGCGGCCCCGUGUGUUCUUGGAUUGUAUUCUUUCAAGUAGAAAAAUUGAGUUUAGAGGAACAAGAGCAAAGGAAAAUAUUAACAGGACUUAAAAGAUCAGCUAGAGAAAUGCCUGCAGUUUUAAGAUCUCCCAUGCUAGCAAAGCAGCAGUUGAAUCUGACUUUUUCCCCGUGGUUUUGUCACUCUCUUGCUGUUCAGUAUAUUUUAACAUCUGAUGGGUGCCUUUUUUCCUUUAGACUUGAGGAUCCUUUUGAAUGCACUGGAUGAUUUUUUUUUUUUAAUUCUUAAGUUAACUAUGUUAUUUGUAUAUGUUGACUACAAUCCAAAAGAGUAGACAACUACUUUUUACCCAGUUCUUUUUUAAAAACACCUUCAUUAUUGUUUAAACACCAUAAAGUUCACUCAUUAUAAAUGUGCAAUGCAACGAGUUUUAAUAAACAUGCAGAGAUGUACAACCAUCACCACCACCUAAUUUUAGACUCUUUCCAUCACUCCAAAAAUAUCUCUCGUGCCUGUUCCUGAUCAGUCUUCAUUCUCGCCACCAUAACCUCAGACAACAACCACUACUACUUUCCUUUCCGUCUCUAUAGAUUAGAGAUAGCCUCUAAACAUGAGCAGCAGUCAUAGAUGCAAGGGGCAUUAUCAAGCAAACGGUGCAGAACCAGGAUGCAGAAGGAGGAAAUGGCAUGGCAAUUGAGAAACCUGCAAGUAUUCUGGGGCAAAACAGGUGAAGAUACAAGAAAGUGGGAGUCUGCAAACCAGAAGAGAACCUUACCAGAACUUGACCAUAUUGGCACCCUAACCUAAGACUUCCAGCCUCCAGAAUUGGAAAACAAUAAAUUUUUGUUGUUUAAGCCA